GACGAACGCUGGCGGCGUGCUUAACACAUGCAAGUCGAGCGGUAAGGCCCUUUCGGGGGUACACGAGCGGCGAACGGGUGAGUAACACGUGGGUGACCUGCCCUCAGCUCUGGGAUAAGCCUGGGAAACCGGGUCUAAUACCGGAUAUGACUCCAUGACGCAUGUUGUGGGGUGGAAAGCCUUGUGCGGCUGAGGAUGGGCCCGCGGCCUAUCAGCUUGUUGGUGGGGUGAUGGCCUACCAAGGCGACGACGGUAGCCGGCCUGAGAGGGCGACCGGCCACACUGGGACUGAGACACGGCCCAGACUCCUACGGGAGGCAGCAGUGGGGAAUCUUGCGCAAUGGGCGAAAGCCUGACGCAGCGACGCCGCGUGAGGGAUGACGG
rnacentral:rRNA from 1 species